AUUGAACGCUGGCGGCAUGCCUUACACAUGCAAGUCGAACGGCAACAGGUCUUCGGAUGCUGACGAGUGGCGAACGGGUGAGUAAUACAUCGGAACGUGCCCGAUCGUGGGGGAUAACGAAGCGAAAGCUUUGCUAAUACCGCAUAAGAUCUACGGAUGAAAGCAGGGGACCGCAAGGCCUUGCGCGAACGGAGCGGCCGAUGGCAGAUUAGGUAGUUGGUGGGAUAAAAGCUUACCAAGCCGACGAUCUGGAGCUGGUCUGAGGGGACGACCAGCCACACUGGGACUGAGACACGGCCCAGACUCCUACGGGAGGCAGCAGUGGGGAAUUUUGGACAAUGGGCGAAAGCCUGAUCCAGCCAUGCCGCGUGCAGGAUGAAGGCCUUCGGGUUGUAAACUGCUUUUGUACGGAACGAAAAGACUCUUUCUAAUAAAGAGGGUCCAUGACGGUACCGUAAGAAUAAGCACCGGCUAACUACGUGCCAGCCGCCGCCGUAACAC
rnacentral:rRNA from 1 species